rnacentral:rRNA from 1 species
UGGGGAAUAUUGCACAAUGGGGGAAACCCUGAUGCAGCGACGCCGCGUGAGUGAAGAAGUAUUUCGGUAUGUAAAGCUCUAUCAGCAGGGAAGAAAAUGACGGUACCUGACUAAGAAGCCCCGGCUAACUACGUGCCAGCAGCCGCGGUAAUACGUAGGGGGCAAGCGUUAUCCGGAUUUACUGGGUGUAAAGGGAGCGUAGACGGCUUUGCAAGUCUGACGUGAAACUCCGGGGCUCAACUCCGGAACUGCGUUGGAAACUGUAAGGCUUGAGUGCCGGAGAGGUAAGCGGAAUUCCUAGUGUAGCGGUGAAAUGCGUAGAUAUUAGGAGGAACACCAGUGGCGAAGGCGGCUUACUGGACGGCAACUGACGUUGAGGCUCGAAAGCGUGGGGAGCAAACA